rnacentral:rRNA from 1 species
UGCAAGUCGAACGGUGAACACGGAGCUUGCUCUGUGGGAUCAGUGGCGAACGGGUGAGUAACACGUGAGCAACCUGCCCCUGACUCUGGGAUAAGCGCUGGAAACGGCGUCUAAUACUGGAUACGAACCACGAAGGCAUCUUCAGUGGUUGGAAAGAAUUUCGGUUGGGGAUGGGCUCGCGGCCUAUCAGCUUGUUGGUGAGGUAAUGGCUCACCAAGGCGUCGACGGGUAGCCGGCCUGAGAGGGUGACCGGCCACACUGGGACUGAGACACGGCCCAGACUCCUACGGGAGGCAGCAGUGGGGAAUAUUGCACAAUGGGCGAAAGCCUGAUGCAGCAACGCCGCGUGAGGGAUGACGGCCUUCGGGUUGUAAACCUCUUUUAGCAGGGAAGAAGCGAAAGUGACGGUACCUGCAGAAAAAGCGCCGGCUAACUACGUGCCAGCAGCCGCGGUAAUACGUAGGGCGCAAGCGUUAUCCGGAAUUAUUGGGCGUAAAGAGCUCGUAGGCGGUUUGUCGCGUCUGCUGUGAAAUCCGGAGGCUCAACCUCCGGCCUGCAGUGGGUACGGGCAGACUAGAGUGCGGUAGGGGAGAUUGGAAUUCCUGGUGUAGCGGUGGAAUGCGCAGAUAUCAGGAGGAACACCGAUGGCGAAGGCAGAUCUCUGGGCCGUAACUGACGCUGAGGAGCGAAAGGGUGGGGAGCAAACAGGCUUAGAUACCCUGGUAGUCCACCCCGUAAACGUUGGGAACUAGUUGUGGGGUCCAUUCCACGGAUUCCGUGACGCAGCUAACGCAUUAAGUUCCCCGCCUGGGGAGUACGGCCGCAAGGCUAAAACUCAAAGGAAUUGACGGGGACCCGCACAAGCGGCGGAGCAUGCGGAUUAAUUCGAUGCAACGCGAAGAACCUUACCAAGGCUUGACAUAUACGAGGACGGGCCAGAAAUGGUCAAUUCUUUGGACACUCGUAAACAGGUGGUGCAUGGUGUCGUCAGCUC